rnacentral:SRP_RNA from 1 species
GCCGGGCGUGGUGGCGCAUGCCUGUAAUCUCAGCUACUAGGGAGGCUGAGGCAGGAGGAUCGCUUGAACCCAGGAGGCAGAGGUUGCAGUGAGCCGAGAUCAUGCUAUUGCACUUCAGCCUGGGUGACAGAGUAAGACCCUGUCUUAA